CUGACACUUCACUCUCAUUGUUAUUGUUUUACCAUACCCGGAUUUUGACCCGACUACAUAAACUCCUUAAUUAACCUAAUUACUCAUUCGCCUCAUUCAACAACGCUGCUGUGCAAAACACGGUCGGCAUCUACUUGGUUUUGCGAUGAAGGUAAAAUAUGAUAGAUUUGGAGACAAGUUCUUUGCAAUUCAAGAGUUUAUUGUAAGAUUGUCAGAUUUUAUUCACUGCCAUUCUUGGUGCCUUUUGAUUAAUUAUAAUAUAUAUUGAUUAUGAAGAAUGC